GUUGUUUCAUCCUUUGGCUUUUCCUUUUAUUGAUAGGCCUUUUUGCUUUGUGUGAAAAUUUGUGACUUGAAUGAUUCCUCAAUUUUGUGCUUGGUUUUGAAGAAAAAAAAGGAAGUGAAAUGAAUAUAAUUUCUCUACUUGUAAUUAAACAAAAAUGAAAAUAAUGAUUUAAAAUUAUUUGCUUCAACCAAUCUUUGCCUAAAACAAAAGUUACUAACUGCACAUGAUCACUUUGGUUAAUUAGCAUUAAUGUUGGGAACUUACGAUCUCAUAAAAUUUUUAAUUAGGGUGUUACUUAGAAUGUAGUAUUGUUUUAUUACAAACGUUUUUCAGUCUAUUUAG
rnacentral:lncRNA from 1 species